GGAUUCUUAGUUCAGUUGGUUAGAACAGCCGGCUCAUAACCGGUAUGUCCUGGGUUCAAGUCCCAGAGAAUCCA
rnacentral:tRNA from 1 species